rfam:Sorghum bicolor cultivar BTx623 chromosome 1, whole genome shotgun sequence.
GUUGUCAGAUUUACUUUAAUCUAUGUGUGUUGGUGUGGAUUGUGGUGAAAUUUAGUUCAAAUUCUACUAUAAUCUAUCUCAACACAUAUAGAUUGAUGUAAAUACGACU